CAUUUUUUCCCUUCCUUUUUAAUUUUGCCUCCUUUUUCUUUCUUCGCCUUACCUUAUUUUUCUGCAUUUCCUGCCUUCCCUCCCCUCGCCCCUCGCUCUGCCUGCUCAGCGGUGCCGGCAUCGGGGCGCUUUCGGGGGGACGCAGUGAAUUCCAUCCGGAGCCCCCGCUGGCUGGCCGCUCUCUGCUAUUCUUUCAGGGCUCCAGCCCUACUCUCUCUGCAGGAAACAGAGGAGCUGAUCCAAGUUCAAAGUCACGUCGCCGUCCCUCCUAAGAAGUGCUUUAUUUGCCUCUGAACCGCAAAACCCCUUUCCCCCAUGUCACAGGGUAACAAGGGAAGGGAGCGAAGGAGGAAGGGAAGAAGGGAGGGGGGCAGAGGCACCGGCAGCCAGCCCCGCACUCUCUCGUCGGGCCACCGCCACGAACACAGCCUGCGGCUCACGGCAGCUUUCGGGGAGGAAAGCAAGUGGUCACCCGAAGUCGGUGGUAAACUGUUUUAUUGAAAGGAGUUUUUCAACAGGUUUCUGGAGGUGCCAGACCUACAGAGCAAACGUCAGCUUGCCCGGGAAAGCUUUCCCGUCUUUGUGCGGCGGGUCCCGGCCCCGACAGCCCCUAGCCCCGGAUCCUUGUGUCAGCCUCAGGUUCCCGCCUGGACGCACGGAGCGACGACAUUUGGCGCAGGAGAAGUUUAAUUUUUAAGAGUCCUCUCGCUCUCGGCCGAGGUCCCGGCGCCUCCGUGCUGUCCCCCUGACGGGACAGUGAGCAGGGUACCGCGGUCCGUCCUGCCCGUGUGGGGCUCCACGGGGCUGUGGCUCGGGGCGCUCCCUCCUGCUACGGGCGGACUCCACCUCCGACGGCGCAUGUUCGGGGAGGGAACCGCGCCACAGGCUCCCCCGCGCCGCAGAGCAGCCCCACGAGUGUAGAAACCACCCGCGACGGGUCGGGAGGAGGGUCGGCUUUUCUAGCGUAUUUGGGGAGUCCUGCAGCUCUUCCCGAGGAAAGCGGCAAUCGCGCUCCCUUUCUAAUGGUUCCCCAGAAGAAUGUUUUACACCUUAUAAAAUAUUGCUCCCCGCUCCCUAACUAUCAAUAAGACGUGCAUUAAAGACGAUUGUUUGUAAAUGGUGUUCAUGAUCAUUAGCAUACAUUUACAUAAUGCA